rnacentral:lncRNA from 1 species
UUCUAGAAUACAAAAUCCUUGGGUUAAGAGAGUUUAAAUCAUUAUUGAAAUUUCAAGCACACUCUCUUUUUAAACAAUCUCACUCAUUCCCAACUUCUUCCCUUUUCUUUUAUUUUUACAUUGAGCUCACUUUACAUGCUUUUUCUUUUCUUCUUUUCCUUUCUUUUUCUCAUGCAUUUUUCUUUUUCAACUUUUGAACUCAAUGCUUUUUUUUUUUUGCCUUUCAACAUUCCCCAUACAACCCCAAACUUGAACCUUUUGAACAUAU